AAUACGUAGGGGGCGAGCGUUGUCCGGAAUCAUUGGGCGUAAAGAGCUCGUAGGCGGUGUGUCGCGUCGGUCGUGAAAACUUGGGGCUUAACCCUGAGCUUGCGGUCGAUACGGGCAUCACUGGAGUUCGGCAGGGGAGACUGGAAUUCCUGGUGUAGCGGUGAAAUGCGCAGAUAUCAGGAGGAACACCGGUGGCGAAGGCGGGUCUCUGGGCCGAUACUGACGCUGAGGAGCGAAAGCGAGGGGAGCGAACAGGA
rnacentral:rRNA from 1 species